GGGGAUUUAGCUCAGUGGUAGAGCGCUUACCUAGGAAGCAAGCAAGGCCCUGGGUUCGGUCCCCAGCUCCG
rnacentral:tRNA from 1 species